UAGUCGCGCCAUUUCACAUUCCAUAUACACUGCUUGUAAAUUGUCCUGCUACGAUUAAAAAUGUUAUUUAUUCUGUUAUUGAUAUCAAAUUAGUGCAAGAAGUUUGUUUUAGCGGUGCAGAGAUAACUUAUAUAUUUGAAACAAGUAAUACAAAU